rnacentral:rRNA from 1 species
GGCGUAAGGGCUCGCAGGCGGUUUCUUAAGUCUGAUGUGAAAGCCCCCGGCUCAACCGGGGAGGGUCAUUGGAAACUGGGAAACUUGAGUGCAGAAGAGGAGAGUGGAAUUCCACGUGUAGCGGUGAAAUGCGUAGAGAUGUGGAGGAACACCAGUGGCGAAGGCGACUCUCUGGUCUGUAACUGACGCUGAGGAGCGAAAGCGUGGGGAGCGAACAGGAUUAGAUACCCUGGUAGUCCACGCCGUAAACGAUGAGUGCUAAGUGUUAGGGGGUUUCCGCCCCUUAGUGCUGCAGCUAACGCAUUAAGCACUCCGCCUGGGGAGUACGGUCGCAAGACUGAAACUCAAAGGAAUUGACGGGGGCCCGCACAAGCGGUGGAGCAUGUGGUUUAAUUCGAAGCAACGCGAAGAACCUUACCAGGUCUUGACAUCCUCUGACAACCCUAGAGAUAGGGCUUUCCCUUCGGGGACAGAGUGACAGGUGGUGCAUGGUUGUCGUCAGCUCGUGUCGUGAGAUGUUGGGUUAAGUCCCGCAACGAGCGCAACCCUUGAUCUUAGUUGCCAGCAUUCAGUUGGGCACUCUAAGGUGACUGCCGGUGACAAACCGGAGGAAGGUGGGGAUGACGUCAAAUCAUCAUGCCCCUUAUGACCUGGGCUACACACGUGCUACAAUGGACAGAACAAAGGGCUGCAAGACCGCAAGGUUUAGCCAAUCCCAUAAAUCUGUUCUCAGUUCGGAUCGCAGUCUGCAACUCGACUGCGUGAAGCUGGAAUCGCUAGUAAUCGCGGAUCAGCAUGCCGCGGUGAAUACGUUCCCG